GCCCGCCUAGCUCAAUCGGAUAGAGCGUCAGACUUUUACGAGCUGUCAGGCGGUUUAAAAAAUCUGAAGGCUGCGAGUUCGACCCUCGCGGUGGGCU